rnacentral:rRNA from 1 species
CCUACGGGAGGCAGCAGUGGGGAAUUUUGCGCAAUGGGGGCAACCCUGACGCAGCAACGCCGCGUGCUCGAUGACGCCCUUCGGGGUGUAAAGAUCUUUCAGUGGGGACGAAACCUGACGGUACCCAAAGAGGAAUCGCCGGCUAACUCCGUGCCAGCAGCCGCGGUAAUACGGGGGGUGCACGCGUUGUCCGGAAUCAUUGGGCGUAAAGAGUUCGUAGGUGGGACUGUAAGUCUGGUGUUAAAGGCGGAAGCUCAACUUCCGUAGGGCAUUGGAAAAUGGAGAGCUUGAAUGCGGUAGAGGUAGAGGGAAUUCCUGGUGUAGCGGUGAAAUGCGUAGAUAUCAGGAGGAACACCGGUGGCGUAGGCGCUUUACUGGGCCGUAAUUGACACUGAGGAACGAAAGCGGGGGUAGCAAACGGGAUUAGAUACCCGAGUAGUC